UUGAUGGAAUCGUUGUUGGAGAUUCAAUUUCGUUUUCUAAUCUCAAAGCAGCAAUUGCGGCCGAGUUGGACAUUGAUGUAUCAAGGAAAGAAAUUGAAAUUCGAUACAUUGUAGAAGACAGGUCAGAUAUACAAGGAUAAAGCAACACUUGUAGAUGUGAUGACGAAAUAUAAGAUAAAGAACAACUUCAACUGCAAAGUGAAGAGGUCUGAUCAACAAAGCUAUGUGUUG